rnacentral:lncRNA from 1 species
AUUUUUCUGAGUUAGUGUGGCCUUCAUCUGGUAAUGUACUACCUGAGGGGGGAGGUGCCGCCUCUCUUUCAGCACCGUGCAACCAUUCAAGGAGGGUGUGUUGUUCACCACAUCUGCUUCCCACUGCCAAAUCAGGCCUCAGAAAAGCUUUCUGGAAGUGACGCCAGCUUCAGGGACAAGGCCCAAGUUUCUAGGGGUCAACACCGUUCCAUGGUUCCUGAAGAGAUGGUAGACUAUGGAACGUAGGCGUUAUGUUUUUGACCUAUGUAACAUGGUCCACUAACUCUCAGUAUCCAAUCCAUCCUCGGAGGGCACCCCGGAGGUGUUACCAACAGCGAGGAAGAGAAUCGGUUCAUCCUCACCCACUCCGUGUACUUUCAGUUGCUAUGGCUGAUAUCUGAUCUACAGCAAGACCACCAUCUUCUGGGCCCCCAGUGAGCCCUCUAGGAGACUUUUGGGAGCUUGAGUCCUAGGACCCGAAGACAUGGUCUUUCCAUGUGAAAUGCAUGAGAUGUCUAUGGGACAUCUCCAAACCAGCCAGCUCUGGAGGCUUUGUGGAGCCCAUUUUCCCUCAAGGGAGACCUACCUGUUUAGCAUCUACCCUGCUCUGAGCAUUGAGGAAAUGCUAACAUCUACCUCUUCUCAAGUUCAAGUCCAGCCUCAGUUCAGUUGGGUUUUUAGUGGCAGUGCCAAGUGGGGAUGAAAUAGUAGUUUUGAGUUUAGGGAGAUGGUUGACCCAAAUAAUACCUUUUUUUUUUUUUUUUUUUUUAAAGUUCACUAUGCCUUAGAAGGCUUCCUGGAACUGCCUUUGAUUGAAACAGAUGUGCCAUUGUCUUUUUUUUUCUGGUGGCACCCUUUUCCUAUGGUUAUGAUUUGGUCUCACAAGGAGAUAGGGCAGGGCUUCCAAUGCCCUGAUCCAUGUGCUUGGCCUGCUUUAACUAGCCAGGUCAUCUUUGUUUUUUUAUUGCGUACAGGAUAUUUGGCUUUCCUAAUUUGGCACCACUCCUGCACAUUAGCCCCCUGCCGUGCAUGCCCUUAUGCCUACUGUCCCUGAGUGCCCAUUCCUUCAGCACCCGGUAGGCACUUCAGCAGCAUUUGUGGAGUAGUAACCCCCACAGCAUCGUUUGUCUGCAACCUUUAUGAGCUUUUGGAAGAGCUGCCGAUUUUGGGGAUGAGUUGCUGGUGUCAAACCUGACAUGAAGAUGAGACUCUUGGCUUUUGUGUGCCUGCCGCAUGAUGCAUGCUUUGUGCCCAGCCAGACUCAAGAUUCCACCAGCUCAAUGGCCCAGAGGGCUUCCUGGACGUGCCCUCAGCCUUUGUCCUCGGCGUCUCUGUGUGGUACUUGGAGAGAUAGUAGACCGUAUAGCGUACGCUUUAUCUGUGACGAGGUGACAUCUGCUUUGAGGAAGAGCCAGUGUCCCGGUCUUCCUACUGCUGCUGCUUGGUACUUGGAGAGAGGUGGUCCGUGGCGCGUUCGCUUCAUUUAUGGCGCACAUUACACGGUCGACCUCUUUGCGCCUUCUUCUCAGCAAAUUUCUCUGGCUUGGCAGCUUCGUGGGCAGGGUGACUUGCAGACCAGGAAAGUGGCAUCGACAUGUGAUACACGUGUGGGAGGACUUCUCAACCAAUAUGGUGUUCCAAAGUUGGGGAAGAUGGCAGCCACCGAGGCAACUCUACCCCAGGUCAUCACAGUAAACAACGCCAUCCUGGAGGAUCCCCUGAAUGUGAAGCUAUAUCCCAAGCUGGGGCACAUUUCUCCUGGUGGGCUUCUAAGGGCUGCUAUUCACCCCUACAUCCCAGGUUCGCCUGGAUCUAACCAAACGGACAAGCUCAAAUAUCAAAUGAAAAAUGAUGAGAGCAAGAUGAAGGCUCACAUCCGGACCGUCAUCGCAUCUGUCAUCGCACCGGACCAGCUCUCCCCAGCGCUCCUUAUCGUUUGCUACUUGAAGAGAGGUUAUCCUUUGUGUGUUUGCUUUACGCGAAAUGAAUAUGCAAGGGCAAGCUCUCUUCGAGGAGCAAAUGCUGCCUGGAAGCAUGGCUGGCGGCGGCCUGGGCCUAGCAGAAGGGUGUGGUCUCUCCAGGGCCUGGUCCACCCCUCUCCAAGUGAGGACUUCCUGGAAGUGGUGUCUGUCUUUGGGAAGAGGCUGAAGUUUCCCAUUCCGUGCGGUCUAUCUGGUGUUCUUCUGUGGCUAUACCUAGAUCAGAAGGGGGCAGUUUUAACAGCCCGCACCUAUGGAAGCAACCCAUCCCGUCAAAAAAAGUCAAUUGUAAGGAGCACAGUUCUGGAACCACAGCUUCUGGGGAAGGAGGAGUCCUAUCUGUCGUAUCUACCAGCAACCCUCGACGUUAUCGAGAGAGAGUCUAGGAAUUCAAUUUGUCAUUGGAAGAAUCUUCUGGAAGGAGAGAGGACAGUAGACAAGAGGCCCCGGUUUUCCUGUCAGAGAUCUCUGAGAAUAUUUGAGGGCCCCCUGCACAAGCGAUAUGAGACUGCCUGCCUUGUGUGAGCCUUGGAUGAGCCCUGCAGCUCCUUCGAGAUGCUCCUUGGAUAUUCCUGAUGGAGAAGACCAACCCCGAGGAAGCUUGGUCCUGCUUGCGAUGAGCUUGCUGUGCUUUCACGGACACCCUUCGUUUCUUCUACCAGUUUUCAGUGCCAGGGUGCGCUUGAAAGGAGAGCUGAUGCCAGGGCUAUAGCCUUCCCCAGCCAGAGCAUGUGGGCCAAACCCUUUCUGGAUGGCUAGGCAGUGGGGAGAAGCCAUGAGAUGGUUGAGAAGUAGUCACAACUCCCCUGGGGACAGACUGGUUUUCAGGGUUACAUCCAUUCAAAAACACCCCCCGGAAUUCAGGCUUGUGAAAGACAAGCUAACUUGACCCUGUUCCUUUGUUCUCACUGAGGUCCUGUCCCUGGCAUCCCCUUCCUCCUGUGGACACCACUGAGGUGCAGACACUACCCCGAUGGGGCUUCCCGUCCUGCUGUUCGGCUCUGGAAGAGACUUGAUUCCUUUUCUUUUUGUGCUGGUGGAGAUCACACACAAAAGGGAUGAUGCCGGUGGCGGACAGGAAGCCCAGCUCCUGCCGCCUGGAUGACUCUUCCCUUGGUGGGGACCAAUCCUGGAUGGAAUCAGUUCAAGAUGGAUGCCAGCUUCAUACAAGAGCCCUAUCAGGAUUGGCCUGAGAGAGAAGUGCUAUCAGCUACUAAAAGUGAAUACUAAAUGGCCUAUCUAUGUCAGAGGGAAGCCCAAAGCCCAGGAAGAAAUGAUGGACCAGAAACAACAGGACAUGCUCGUAAGGAAGACUUGCUGCAUGGUGGAUGGCCCAGAGACGGCGGGGCUCACAGAUGGUCACGUUUAGUGCUUGCAGAUUGGUAAUGCCUGUGCCCUUGGCUUUGUUUAUUCUGGUCAACCAGUUGUCAGUGCUGCCAUCGAGGGCUUUCUGGACAGCAUGGCACCUUCCGUAAGGAGACCUUGGCUUCAGUAGCUAGUCCAGAGAUGAGACAGUGGGAGUGGAGGAUCACCUGGGAUCAUGUAGAGCUCAAUGAACCUUCUCUUGAUUCAUAUGAGGAUGCUAGUAGCCUUGGUUGGGCUUUUCUGCAGUGGGACUUUUAUAGUCCCCUCAGGACCUUGAUGUGACUAACCAUAUGUGCACCAUUGAGAAAUGCAAGUCCCCAUUCACAUACCCCAGGGUCUAUAUACCUGCAGAGGACUUCUGACCUACAGCAAGUGGGCUCCCUUCUCAUCUUGAAAACCUUCCAGUGUGAACUCUAGAACCAAGGAAGACAGAGAAAGGGGACAAUGUCAGCAUCGUUGCAAGGGAGUACCAAAUGCUACCUCUAAGGAUUUCCUGGACAUGAUGGCAACUUGCAGAAAGAUGGCGGUUCAGUCAAGCUGGUAGAGAAGCCAAGUAUGGAUGUUUGGCCACGGACAGUGUGCUUGAGCUAGCUGUAAGUCACCUGGUCGGGUUACCUGAGCAUCUGAUCCACCUGUAGGCCUCUCAUCAGUGGGCCGUGCCAACCUUGGUGAGGCAGCUGUGGCUCUGCCCCCAAGUAUCAGCUUACAAGACUUUGAAAAGAGGUCAUCUUCCGGAAGAGAUGUUGGUGCCAGCACCAUUCAGGGUGUGUGACUGGUUGACCAGAGGGGCGUGCACUCUGUUCACCCUGUGGGCCACCUAGUCACCAACCCUCAGCAUCAAUUCCACUCAAAGAAGACUUUCCAGAGAUCCUACCAAGUUUGGGGAUAUGUCAAUGGACUUGAUGGCUGUGCCUGCUCAGUGGACCAGGAUGAACUGUGGUCUUAGGGGUGUAUGUUUACAUAAGAUGCCAUGAGGCAUCCGUGGUAGCUGCUGCAUCACUGUCACAGCCUCCUUGAAAUGUUGACUUCAGAUGUGGACAUGAUGUUGACUUCCCAUGAGGGACCUGAAGUCCCUUCUCUCCUGGGAGAGUCUGUGAGAUGAUACCAACCUCUAGAAGCAGGCAUGGUUGUCCCGACAUCGCCACACUACCACAGGAGCUUCCAGAAUACAUUCUCUUCAUGGAAACUGUGGAACCACGCCCCCUCUGGUCCAGGAGGACUAACCAGAUUCAAGGCUAUCACCAUCCCCCUUCAGGACAGUGGAAGCAGCCACCUUUUCGAGAGAGUCGAUGUGUUCUUCACCAGUGUUCUUCGCCAGUGAUCAUGUGUGAUACUUGGAGAGAGGCUGGCCGUGAUGAAUUCGAUUCAUCUAAACGAGUCAUACACGGCUCUCCUCUCUUCUAGUGUCAAACUCUGCCUCAGAGGUCUUCUCAAGCCACUACUGUUCCCAAGGAUGCCUAAUUGCAAUGCCAGCUUCUGGGGUGAACAUGGACCCACUGUCAUCGGGCAAGGUCUAGGAUGGACAUGGAGACCCACCAUCUGGGAGAUUCCAGAGUGGACGUGAACCCACCAUCAUCAGAGAGCUUCAUGGAGUAUUCAGAAGCUGGCGGGUGUCACCUGGAGGAUGUGACUGGGUACCAGUGCCAGAGCACGUGCCCACUGAGCAGUCUUCUUCACUUUCCUCGAUCCUCAUGAAACAUUCCGGGAUCUUUACCUCAAAGGACUCCAGAGGCUACAUCAUUGUCUUGGAACUGGUCAGUGGCUGGAGCUCUCUCCAGGACAAGUGCUUGGAGGAAGAACCUGGACAAGCUUCCCUCCCUAUACUGUUGACUGGAUCUUGUAGCUACCGUUAGCCACCAUCAUCGCCAUUGUGUGCCUCUUAGGAGCAUUUCCAGGAGGUGAUGCCAGCUGGGGAAAGAGCCUCUGUCCCACAGCCGUCGGUGCCCGCUGCAGCCUGCGCCCAGGAUGUCACAGCCUCAGCUCAACACCUCUGCUGGACAGCUUCAGGUGGUGAUUCCAGCUCCAGGGUUGCUGCGGUCAACACUGGGUACUUGAGGAGAGGUUGUCUGUGAUGAGUUCGCUUUAUUAAUGACGAAUAUAACACAGAUGGCCUGUUUUCAAUACCACCUGCCACUCCGGUCACUCGGCAGUACAUACCAGGUGUCACACCACUGCCCGGCAGGUGACAACGCUGAAUUGGUCCUCAGGAGCGGAUGUUCAAGGAACCCUGCCUAUGCACCAUGCUAGCUGCCAGUCCUAGGUUGGGACAUUCCACUGGGGACAUCCAUGGGAGAGCUAUGGCCAUUAACAAGUCCUGAGCCCUGACCUGAAGCCAUCAGUGGCCUAGCUGCUCUACCUGACUUUGUGGCCUCCCUUCCUGGAUCUCUCGCUUACGACAACCGACAACAAAGAUGUUUGACUCCAGAAGAUGCUCCCCGCGGCCCACCUGAGAGGACUGUCCACACCCCACCCCACUGCGCCCUGUGCCAUCUACCUCUGAGUCCCCAACUUCUCACCCAUGUUUCAACUCCCACCCCAGAGCCUUGUAUUCCAGAUCUGAGCAGCCCUUGCUUAGGAACCUGAGGUGGGGGGUGGGUAGGCAGACCCAGGGGACUGAGCAGGGAGGGGAAGGAGGGGUUUCUGCUCUUGGCUUUCAAAGUUCUCAGUGUGUGUAGCCCUUUGAAUAAUAAACAUAUGUCAUAUAAUGUAAAAAAAAAAAAAAAAAAA